CCUACGGGGGGCAGCAGUGGGGAAUAUUGGACAAUGGGGGCAACCCUGAUCCAGCCAUGCCGCGUGUGUGAAGAAGGCCCUCGGGUUGUAAAGCACUUUCAGUGAGGAAGAACGCCUGGUGGUUAAUACCCAUCAGGAAAGACAUCACUCACAGAAGAAGCACCGGCUAACUCCGUGCCAGCAGCCGCGGUAAUACGGAGGGUGCGAGCGUUAAUCGGAAUUACUGGGCGUAAAGCGCGCGUAGGUGGCUUGAUAAGCCGGUUGUGAAAGCCCCGGGCUCAACCUGGGAACUGCAUCCGGAACUGUCAAGCUAGAGUGCAGGAGAGGAAGGUAGAAUUCCCGGUGUAGCGGUGAAAUGCGUAGAGAUCGGGAGGAAUACCAGUGGCGAAGGCGGCCUUCUGGACUGACACUGACACUGAGGUGCGAAAGCGUGGGUAGCAAACAGGAUUAGAUACCCUGGUAGUC
rnacentral:rRNA from 1 species